AACGCGAAGAACCUUACCUACCCUUGACAUGGUCGGAAUCCUGCUGAGAGGUGGGAGUGCUCGAAAGAGAACCGGCGCACAGGUGCUGCAUGGCUGUCGUCAGCUCGUGUCGUGAGAUGUUGGGUUAAGUCCCGCAACGAGCGCAACCCUUGUCCUGUAUUGCCAGCGGGUUAUGCCGGGGACUUGCAGGAGACUGCCGGGGUCAACUCGGAGGAAGGUGGGGAUGACGUCAAAUCAUCAUGCCCCUUAUGUCUUGGGCUUCACGCAUGCUACAAUGGCCGGUACAAAGGGCUGCGAUACCGUAAGGUGGAGCGAAUCCCAAAAAGCCGGUCCCAGUUCGGAUUGAGGUCUGCAACUCGACCUCAUGAAGUCGGAGUCGCUAGUAAUCGCAGAUCAGCAACGCUGCGGUGAAUACGUUCCCGGGUCUUGUACACACCG
rnacentral:rRNA from 1 species